GUGGCUCUGCGUGAAGGAUUGUUUUC
rnacentral:piRNA from 1 species